ensembl:rRNA 5S_rRNA 5S ribosomal RNA
UGGUACGGCCAUACCACCCUGAAUACGCCCGAUCUCGUCGGAUCUCGGAAGCUAAGCAGGGUUGGGCCUGGUUAGUACUUGGAUGGGAGACCGCCUGUGAAUACCAGGUGCUGUAAGUG